rnacentral:rRNA from 1 species
CACGUAGGGCGCGAGCGUUGUCCGGAAUUAUUGGGCGUAAAGAGCUCGUAGGCGGCCUGUUGCGUCCGCUGUGAAAGCCCGGGGCUUAACCCCGGGUCGGCAGUGGAUACGGGCAGACUAGAGUGCGGUAGGGGAGAUUGGAAUUCCUGGUGUAGCGGUGAAAUGCGCAGAUAUCAGGAGGAACACCGGUGGCGAAGGCGGGUCUCUGGGCCGAUACUGACGCUGAGGAGCGAAAGCGUGGGGAGCGAACAGG